GCCCCUGUAGUGUAGCCCGGUCAAGCACUCUGCCUUCUCAGGGCGGAAACUUGGGUUCAAAUCCCAACAGGGGUA
rnacentral:tRNA from 1 species